CUAUCUCUUAACAUCUAACUAUUUUAAUAUAAUCACUUCUAAUAAAUGUGACACUUUUUUUCCCCAGCAGAAUUGUAAACAUGACGUAGUCUCCUCAGUAGUAUCAAGCUUGAAUAAAUGUGAAUGCUGCAGUGGACCCUUUUCCGCUUUUAAGUGGAUUGGUGUGAGAUGUAAGGUUUGUUCCUGCUUCUGGCAUAAAACUUGCUACAAGAAAAAUGUGAAGCCCAAACCUGACCCAUUAACAUCAGAUUCUGAAGAAGAAUUUUCCAGUGAGAAUUUGUCAGAUCGGGACUAUGUACCUAAUUCUGUUUCAGAAAGUUCAGAAGUGGGCAUAGUGUCUUCAGAAAAUGAAUGUCCUGAACAACUCUUAAACAUGCCGACUACUAAAGUGUCCUGCUUUGAAUCUACUGCAGAAAUUCAAAAUGGCAGACCAUGCCAAGACAGCAUCAUAGGUAAAGAUUCACACCCAAAAGAUCCAGUCUGCACAGCACAGCUUGAAAGGUCUU